CCUACGGGUGGCAGCAGUGGGGAAUAUUGCGCAAUGGGCGAAAGCCUGAAGCAGCGAAGCCGCGUGAGGGAUGAAGGUCUUAGGAUCGUAAAACUCUGUCAGUAGGGAAGAAAGGUCACUGUGCUAAUCAGCAGUGAAUUGACGGUACCUGCAAAGGAAGCACAGGCUAACUCCGUGCCAGCAGCCGCGGUAAUACGGAGGGUGCGAGCGUUAAUCGGAUUUACUGGGCGUAAAGCGCUCGUAGGCGGUAUGUCAAGUCAAGGGUGAAAUCCCCGGGCUCAACGUGGGAACUGCCUUUGAAACUGGCAGACUGGAGUGUGUGAGAGGAUAGUGGAAUUCGAGGUGU
rnacentral:rRNA from 1 species